GAUUUUCACGGAUUUUCAGAAAAGUACGUCGUUUUGCUGUCGAUUCCGGUGUCGGUGAAUGGUUGUCGGUCAAGAUAUUUGCGUUGUUCUCGUGCGAAAUCUACUAUUCCAGCGCAUCACGGUGAAUUAAGCGCUUCUUCAGUGAUUCGAUCUAUGCUUCGAUCGCGGCUUCGUGACCAGUGCACUGUGUCGUAAAUGUGUGCGUGUUUUUGCUUUGGCUGAAGGGUUUGCAAAAAUCGGAAAACCAUCGGUUCUUCGACUUUGACGAAACCUGCCUCAUGGGGUGUUCCAUUUGGUGUUCUUUUUUGUAUGUUCGUGUGCUACUAAUUAAACGGAAUUGAUGCCGUGUCGGUGAACGUGGCCCUCCUAUUAGGCACGGUUGCCCGGAGGGAAUUAACGACAGUGGCCAGGUCUCGCGGUACCCCCCCCCAGCCUACCAAGUGUGUUUUGCCUAAUUUUUUUUCAUUAAUUUCCUUCGUCCCGUCGAAUUGCUGCGCUCCUGGACCGUGCAACCGCCAUCCGUCCCUAGCGAGAAGAAGAAGGUGCGUUUUCGAUGGUCUCCGUGUCGGUGUGUGCGUUGCGAAUGACGGAAAAGCGGAACGACCUACCUGGUGACCACAUUAAGGAAGUAGAAGAAGUUAUCGGAUGAAGAACACUGCACCUGGGACAGGAAAAGAAGUAAAGCGCGACGGCGAACGAAGGCGGAAAAGAAGUAGUAGGCAACGAAGCGAGGGCCGUACCGUCCUCCGAUCUACACUCCCUCUGCCCGCCUGACAGCAACGGCAGGAGAACGGAAACGGUGCGCCAGCAGCAGGAAAAGUGUGUGUCUUGUGUGUGCUGAAUAGGGAAAAAAUAUGUCGGAUGUGAAACGUGUAACGCUUACUACGAUUAGUGAUGUGGUCAGGAAGGGCGGCGGUGGAGGCACCGGUGGCCCUUUCGGUGCACUUGCGUUCGAUUCGGCCAACGCCAUGAGCUCGGCGUUCGGUGGCGGCAGUUCCGCAUUCGGCGGAGCAAGCCACACACCCGCGGGCAAGGAAUCGGCUGGCGGAAGCGGAGGGGCCGACGGAGGCAAAUCCGGAGCCUCGGGGAAAAAGCAGAAAACUGUGCGCCUCGAACUGAACCUGUUUGAGCCGACCGCGGAAAGCUUUCCGGAGUUCAACUUUUCCAAGCUGAUUCACGAGGAACAGAAACGAUUGAAGAAAGCACAGAAAAAGCUUCACGAUGAUGCAAACAAUGGUUUCCUGUCCGAUCCUGAACUGGAUAACGAUGUAGCCCGCAUGGCAAGAGAGUUGGAGCGAAAGUACGGUUCCGGCACGGCCUACGGUGGAAAAGAAAAAAAUUCACGCCCCUCGAAGUUGGACUACUAUGAUCGGGGAGCUGGCUACGACGAGGAGGACUCGUUCAUCGACAAUUCCGAGGCGUACGAUGAGCUGAUACCACAGGAGAUCGAGACGGUCGGUGGCGGGUUCUACAUUAACUCCGGCCAGCUGGAGUUCAAGCAAUUGUCCAACUUCGAACGACCGGACGAUGUACACCGUAUGCCCAAACCGAAGAAGCGUGCACUUUCAACGACCUCUGAGAGCAGUGACGAAGAAGACCCGCCGACGAAUGCCAAAAAGAAAUCGGAAGAAACGCCCCAGCCACAGGCAGAGAAACCGGUGGCUACUCCCGAACCACAACGGGUCGGUGAAGAGGAGCGAACGAACGCCGGCGGUGGCAACAGUGGACCGGAGGUGGGAUCCGGUGAGGACAAGCAGCCGCGCGUGAACGGGCAUGUCACCAAGAAGCCAAAACUGGCUGACAGUGGACCGAAAGGUGCUGGUUUGGAAAAGGAUAAAUCUAAAUCCACCUCCGGAACGAACGUCGUAUCUGCAGAAAAGGCGAAUGGAGUGAAAGCUAAAGUCGCUGCUACGUGCACACAACCGGCAAUCGGAGGUCCGCCGGCCGAGGUCGCCGCUGCUAGUUGUGGUGGAGGUGGUGGCAGCAAGAAGGAUGAGAAUGAAAACGACGGUGGCGUUAAGUUGAUCAAAACGACCACGGUGAAGGACAUGCUGCGGGCCAAGCGGGAUAGCUUGCGCAAGAUGGAGCAGGAAAAGAAGGGCCGCAGCAGUGGGUCUAGUAGGGUUUCUAGCUCCGAGGCGGAGGAAGAUGGAGACGGUGGUGCCGACGAGGAUGACGAGGAUGAGGAGAACGACGAGGACGAUGAUGAGGAUGAGGAGGAAGAAGACGACGACGACGAGGGCGAUGGUAGUGGUAAGGAGUCGAACGAAUCUGGCUCCGAGGAGGACAUUGGGUCGGAAAGUGCGAGUAGCCACGGGAGUACGAGUGAAAAGGAUCCGGCGGCAGGACAAAAGGUGGCCGUGGCCCCUGCCGUAAACGGAACCGACGGUGAAACGGGCCAGCGGCCAGCGGUUGUAGCGCUUCCAGAACAAAAAGAGAAAGAGCAAAAGGAACGCAAACGGAAGGAAUGCAAACUACCGGACGAGCUGCCCGACUCGUUGCGGAAGGUUGUGGAAGCGCUGAAAGAGGUCGCCCGGAGUCACGCCAUCGGAGGUAAGCUGAACUAUUUCGACAGCAAGGUGGCCGAAGUGUUGCUGCAGGUCGACGAGGAAGCUCGGGCGGCAGGCAAUAGUACCCGUAACGCCGUCUUCCGUCACCUGGAGGGCCAACUCUCCAUCAGCCGGCAGUCGCUGCAGUUAAAAAUUAAAAAGAUACGCACCCGUAAGUUGGAGGGCCGGGCGAAGGUGGCGCUCGAUCAGCUUCAGUAUGCAAUCUCCGAUCAAAUGCCUCUCCUGCUGGCCAAACACGUAUAUGACUGCCAGACUGUGGCGGAACAACGAGCGGCACAAGCGGCGGCGGCGGCUGCAUCGGCAAACAGCACCAUCCUGCCAACUGGGAGCGACCCGGCGUCUGCGUCAAAUAGCGAGAAACCGGCACCGCAAACCACAAACACUCCGCAGAUUCGAAAUCCAAAGAAAAAGUUCCCUUGGAACGAGAAGACGCGGGACCUGCUGUGGGAAUUGUACAGCAUCCGCGUGGAACUGUUCCCGCUGCUACGGCCCCGCAAUGAAACCGAGGACGAUUUUGUGGCGGAAUAUCUGCGCAACAAGUUGGUCCCGCUGUGGCCGAAGGGAUGGAUACGUUACGAGGACCUGCACAAGGAGCUCGACCGGCGGAAAAAGGCACUGUCGAAGGCACCCGUCAGUGCGGUGGCAAAGAAGCAUCCUCCGCUAGUCGUCAUCCCGUCACACGCCACGUCAUCCGCCUCCAACGUCAUCGAUCCGAGCUGGAUGUCGCCCGGCACGGUCACCGCCGGAGUUGUGAUGAACGGUACUGCGAAAUCGAUUGGCAACUCGUCGUCGGGCGGUGGUGGGGCAGGAGGAAGUGUUGGAAAACAGGGAAGUGGAUCUUCCGUGACAACGCAACCGCCGCAUCUCUCACCGAACGGCAACAAACGUGCCUCUUCCGAUCACAGCAUCAGCAACAUCAUGAACUCCCCUCCCCUACCGCCACCACCAACCACCGGUGAGAAGCAGCAUUCCGCCGCCAAUCGAUCGCAAACGAUCACCACCGGCCGGCGUUCGUUCGAUGACGACCAAAUCAUGCUCUCUCCACCGAAACCUGUCGCUAGCGGGGACAAAGAUAGUUCGAGCGCCAAACGCGGCGGACCGUUAGCUUUCCCAAUCGAGCCGAGAACAUCGAUCGGUAUCGCGGCAGGUGAUCUGACUUCCACGAAUCAACGGCAACGGUGGAGCAGCCGUGAAGACGAUAGCGAUAGCAGUAUUGAAAUCAUUGGCGAGUUUAACGUGAUCGGUGGAGGGUCAGCUGGUAGCGCAAGCCAGAAUCAUUCGCUCCCGCUCGCCCCGACCGGGGUUAUCCAUUCCGCGAAAUCCCUGCUUCAAUCGCAGCCGAUGGUCGGCGGACCAGCGCCAUCCGCAACUGCCGGCGUGCUGCCCGUGCUCAACAAGGAAAAGUAUAAAAAUUUGAUCGCGGGGAAAAAUAAAGCCCACGGAGCUGGUGGAAGUAGUGGUGGUGACGGUAGCAGUCCCAUCCGUUCGGCGGACACAACGCCCACCGGUCCUCCCGCCAACAAAUACUCCAAACACUCACCGUCGGUUAGUGAUCGUAUCAUGCAACACGGCAUCCCAGGAUCUUCUCUAUCGUUUGCGACCCCUCCGCCGUCCGGGUCGGUUGGUUCGUCCGGCAGUAGGAUAAAGGAAUCGCCCUCGACACCAUCGCUCGAUUUGGACGUGCACCAGAUAAUGAAGGAUCUCAAGGAGUUUCAGGAACUCCAGCAGCAUCACAAUGUCGGAAGCAAUCGCAAGACGGACAACUCAACGAUACCACCACAACAGCAGCACGUGCAAGUUCCAUUGACACAAUUUUUGCCUCGUUCGUAAGACAAUGUAAUUGGAAAGGCAUGCCUCCGUCUUCUACCGAGCAUGUAGCCUCAGCGAACAAACAACACAUCCAAGCGUGCGUUGAUAGUUGUGGUGGUUUACAUACUCUUAUUAUGCAUAUUAAGAUCGUCCGGAAAAAUCGAAAAAUGGACCUAUCGUUGUCGAUUGAAUGCCGGAACGUGAAAUGGCAAAACUGACCAAAAGUAGUUGAGGUGAGCAGCGAUUGAUGAAAUCAGCUCUUAAUGGAGGAACAAUUUAAAAAAAAACCUCGUGUUGUUUGGCGGUGCAGCAACUAUUGCGGCAUCCUCCUCCACAGAAAUGUAUAAACCAAGUAAAUAUUUGAUUAUGUUUAACGGAACA